GUUGUGUUGAGUGUUUCCUGACCGGCGAUCUUGCCUCACGGCGGUCUUGUAGGCAGGAAUGUGUGUGUUGUGUUUGAGUGUUUCCUGACCGGCGAUCUUGCCUCACGGCGGUCUUGUAGGCAGGAAUGUGUGUGUUGUGUUUGAGUGUUUCCUGACCGGCGAUCUUGCCUCACGGCGGUCUUGUAGGCAGGAAUGUGUGUGUGUGUUGUGUUGAGAUCAGGAAUAGUUUGCUUAUAAUAGUUGUGGUUGAUUAUUUUACAUGUAUACGCUAUACUUAUAUAUUAUGCUUAUUCAUUUCGUGUAGGAACCGUGCAAGAACUUUGAAUUGAGCUCAAGAACUGUGGCUAUAAUACUGCAUGCUGAGUCUACAGAUCAUUGUAAACUUUAGAUGUCAAUUGUAAACUUCAUAUGUCAUUGUAAACUAUGUGUAGAUUUGAAGUAUCCAGCUCUUCAAGUGUUCAGUGCAGAACACUCCACAUAUCAGACAAGGCUUUGUACACUACAUAGUGCUAUGCCCCAUUUACAAAAUUGUACACUACUGUACACUAGGACAUCUGGCCCUGUGAGUACUGCUCAAAGAAAAGUGACCGCUGUAAUCCAACCUCAGUGAGGUUCUAGGGCAGUGAGGAUGCCUUGUUGAGUGAGUGACUGGGACUACCUCAAGCUAGGAUGGACUAAGUUCCUGGAUCUGGUAAGUCUAGAGUAGCAUAUGUAGUCUUAAUAGCUUCUGUAUUUAGGCUAGUUAGUACAGCCACCAACCAUUGAACUGUGUGUAGGUGAAGAAAACAUUUCCCGGGAAAAUGGCGUCUGCCGAUGUGACCUCACAGACAAGUUUCUGCUGAUCCUGCUUGUCCGUGAAAACAUUGAGAACACUUAUUCUUUAGUCAAUCGCUAAUUUAGGGGGGUGGUUAGUUGCUAGGUAACGAUGAUGGUGUCAAGAUACCUCUGGGGUCUGCGCUACCUGUAGGAAAUAUUGUUCAUGAUAUAUGAAUUCUUAAAGAAAAACUGUAUUUAUUCUGUAUUUUCUUUAGGGUUAAAGAUAUGAACUCUCUUUGGUUGGAGCACUGUAGGCCGUAAUGACUAUCAAUGAGGAGUGGCAUCUAGCUAGAUUUAACUCCCACUAGUAUUGUACAUCUGUAUAAAAAUCAUUUUUUUGUUGGUCCAGAGUAUCCAACAGUAAGCGUAUCCAACAGUAAGCUUAUUAAUACUUGUAUAUCAUCCUACAUUGAAAAGUGCACGAAAAGUGCAUUUGUUGGCACAAGCUUAUUGGCACAAGCGGCAUAUAUGUACGGAAUCGGAUUUGUAUAAUUAAUAGUAGCACAUGCAAUGGCAAGGAUACUAAUUACACGAGGCGUAGCUAUUAACCUAAUCCCUUAUUGCACUCUUAGCCAUACUAUUGAUUGUUAAUCGUUUGUGAUGCAGUUUUAAUCCCCUCUCUGGAGCUGGGUCCUCUGAUCUCUCCUUCUACGGAACAUCUAGUAUGACUUCUUCUGUGAUAGAAAUGCAGCAGUUUCAGUAAAAAAAUUAGCCGCGGCCGUUAUUCGAAUGUGCGGUCGUCAAGGCACGUCGUUAAUGACGACGUGCAAUUACUGAUACGCGAUUAUUACUGAUACGCGAUUAAUCACUGUACGAAUCCCUGUGAAUAAUAGGACAACAUGCUAACCCCUUUAUCCACACCUGUACAAGUUACAUUACUGUUUUACGUACUGGUGUUGAUCGGGUAUACAUUACGCACGAAACAUUGGACACUGUUUUCAUCCAUAACUAUAGGUAAGCAGACUUGAUAAUUUAUUAUGUAGGAUAGGGCCUAACUCCUAACUCUUCAAUCAGUAAUUAGUAAUAGACUAUUACUCACGAUUAAUUUUGUUAUAAAAAAAACUGUAAUAACAAAAUAGCGGUAGCCCCGUAAGCAUUAGUUGUGUGUGUGUGUGUGUACAGUAUAGUGUAUAGUAUAUAGUAUAUAGUUUGUAGCUUAGUUUGUAGCUUGGCCAAUACUUUGUGUUGAAUUACAAUGUAAAGUCAGCCCAGCGUGACACCAGGAUUUUCCCGCUGUGUAGCUUCUUGCAUAGUUGCUUAUAUGCUGUACUGUCAAGCAUUGUAUGUGUGGUAGUAGGGUAGUAGUCUUUCUCGUAGUCUCGUAGUCUUUCCAUGUAGAAGUCCCAGGCAUACUUGUCCACAGCAUAAAUGAAUCCACAGCAUAAAUGAAGCCAUAAUUGACCACAUAACUUCCGGCUGAACUCAACACAAAUAGACUUUAGUACUUCACUUUGACCUUUAUUGUGGCAUGAGUUGAGCAGCUAAUUUAAAAUCACACCCUACAGUGGUUUACAUGUACGCCAUAAUUAGCAAUAUAAAAGCCAAAUGUAUAUAAAAGCCAACUACAUUGCGGUUGCACUGCAAGUGCAAAGGUACAGUGUAUGUAUCCUAACCUUACAGCCAAUGGGAAGUAAAGAAUAACAUGCAUUCAGUUACAGGGAGACAAAAAGCCAGAUAGUUUUCUAUAAUUAUUUGGUUUUUAAAUUGUUGGAUAUCGCAUCUGGGUUGGUAGAUUAUUGCUGGUGUAAUAGGCAUCACUUUUACUAGUCGACAGGCGUUUGGAAAUACAAAGUGUUCAGGUAGGGGUUGGUAGAUUAUUGCUAGUGUAAUAGGCAUCAUUUUUACUAGUCGACAGGUACAGAGUGUACAGGUAGGGGUAGGGGUAUUGCUGGUGUCACUUUUACUAGUCAACAGGCUUUGGAAAUGCAGGUGUAAUAGGCAUCACUUUUACUGGCUUUGGAAAUACAGAGUGUAGAUGUGAGAUGUAUCACUCAACGAGUGUGCAGGUAGGCAUCAGUCAACAGGCUUUGGAAAUACAGAAUGUACAGGUAGGUGUUGGUAGAUCAAAUGGCUAAUUAUAUAUACUACGUGUGUAAUACAAAAUAUGUGUGGGAACACAGAGGCCAGAAAUAAUUAUUUGUUCUGAACUGUUCGAAUUUAUAAUUAUUACAAUGAACACUGCAAUACAUAUGCAAUACAUAUAAGCGAAAAACCGAUUCAAGCAACACCGAGGCCGACACGUGCAGUUAAAUGGUAGUGGCUGCCAAAGCUGUGGCUGCCUCAACCGCACAGCUACUCAUUGCUAAGGCGAAGUUCACAGGGCUCUGUGGCUGACUCUGUCAUCAUCUUCCGUUGCAGAUCUAUAAUAAUUAUUGUAUGGAAUAUUGAGGAAUAUUGAUCAAUAGAAUAUUUAGUCUCAUCAAUGAAAUCCAUGAAAACUGAAAACAAUUGUCUCGGAGGGUUAUUCAGAACGAUUUGAAGUACUCUGCAUUAACAGUGCAUUAACUGCACUGUUAAGCACAUACCUUUGUUCAAAACAUUUGGCGUGGUAUAAAAUAUGCAGACUUGGGUGCUUUUACUGCAAAAUUGGUCUUUCGUCUUUAUAAUCGUGUUGCCCCCCCUUAUUAUCAGAGACAGUUAUGUUUACCAAAGGCUUUCUAUAGCCAGUAUCAUUCUAUAGCCAGUAUAUUUGAUCAAACAAAAACCGAAACUCUUCGUCGGUAGUUACACCACCAAUCUAAAGCACCAUUAAUCUAAAGCAACAAGUUAGCCAAGCACCAUCAAUCUAAAGCAACAAGUUAGCCACUACAAUACAAUUAUACAGUCAGAAAGUCAAGUAAAUAAUAGUAAAUAAUAAUAUACGUAUUGUAACCAUGACAUGAUAUACACGGAUGGUGGUAUUUACAGCCAGAUUUAACAGCCAGACUUAACUACUUGAGUUUAUACUGAAUCAGAAUAAUUAUGUGCUUGCAGAGUAAGAAACAAGAAAAGCACUAUCGAUGGACACGUUUGCUACCCAUUUGCUACCCAUCACCCAAACAAAGAUAUGUGUAUCAAUUUGUCUCUUCUCUGCUCGUGGUUUCUGGACUCGUGUUAAACUGUUUGUAUAAUUAUUGGUACAGUUACUUCGGAAUGUAGUAAGCCAUACUGACGAGUGACGAGUGAAGGAGCAGUGACUGAACCUAGGGUACAAGCCUAAGCAGUAAAAACUUGCAAACCGAUUCCCUCAAUAUGGAGGGCUACGAAAACCUAAUAUUGGGCCAUUAAUAUUGGGCCACAGUCUCCACAACAAACAGAACCCACAAUAGAACUGCCAACUUUGCAAGUUGGGAAGGACACAACCUUCUCCAUUUCCAGGAGAGCGGACGUGCAGGAAAGAGACGGCCGAAACUGUAUAAUAUAUUGGACUCAGAGAGUCACUUGCUGUGAGAAGAUAUGUGGAUGAGGGUGAAUGAGGGGCGUACCGUAUAUGCUGCUCCAGUACUUUGACGAAAGUUUGGCGAGGAAAUUAGGUAGAUCGACGCUGCGAAAAACUAUCUAACUAAUUGAACUUUCAUAUAAUAGCACACAACAUAAUCAUAAGUGAGUUAAUUUGUAAAAAGUUCAUUGUACGUACAUUGUACGUACAUGCAUUCAUAUCCUUAUUAGUUAGCGCCCAUGUGUCCGACAUUUUUUCCAUUUCCUCCAUCUCCAUCCCAGGAAGACUUAAACUGAAGCAUACUUUGUUCGACGCUGCGAAAAACUAUCUAACUAAUUGAACUUUCAUAUAAUAGCACACAACAUAAUCAUAAGUGAGUUAAUUUGUAAAAAGUUCAUUGUACGUACAUUGUACGUACAUGCAUUCAUAUCCUUAUUAGUUAGCGCCCAUGUGUCCGACAUUUCUUCCAUUUCCUCCAUCUCCCCAUUUCCUCCAUCUCCAUCCCAGGAAGACUUAAACUGAAGCAUACUUUGUUCACUAAAAAUUUAAUGUUCCAGCUGCGGAAAUGGACACUUUUAGUGUUGUUUCCUGCACAGCUGCACAUCGGUUGAGGGGAGGGUCGCUUAACCACAAGAUGAGUACCGCCCUAACCCUAACCCUAGCCUUAUGUAUUUCUUUAAUGCUGAAUACAUUCUCCUGGUCAUAGACUAACAAAUCCAACCAUAAGCACCUUCAGUCCUUGCCACCAAGUUAGCAGAAUGGUCCUGUGGUCAGGUACGAAAAAAAUAUUGUGAACAGGGGUGAUGACAAAAAUGGGUUGGUGGAUGGAUGGAUUCUACCUGACCCGGUGCCACUACAUAAUUAUUCACUGUACACGCACAUGUAUUGUCCAGAUGAAGGGGACAGUCACCUUGCUGCAAAAAACUUGGGAUGGAGGACCUAUACUUAAAACACGCUAGGAACUCGUCUGGAAGGUUGGCUAUAUUAAUUAUUUUAUGUAUCACACUCUCAUUUCCAGAAGCUCAUUUCCAGAAGCUCUUUUCCAGAUGUCCUGGCAGUUACGACACACCAUUCACUGAUCAGCUGCCUACCUAUUCGGUCUGCUAAUAAGCAGAUGGAGCUGUGUGGACCUCAAAAGCAGAGGAAUCUGAUGCCCGGGGAAGCCACAGCCCAGACAAAGAGACUGGUCCAGGAGCACAGGACACUGAGAGGUAUUACACAGGCUUUCAUGGAGGGGAAGGGAGUGAAAAGCAAGGCCCUGUGUACAAAGCUAGUUCAUAGUUUACCUUCAAAGUCCAUCAAAACAGCAGCCAACUGUCUAUGAGCCAGCCAAUUGUCAGCGCGCCUAUCUCUUCUAUUCAGGCUACUAACAAAUGGCUCUUGAUCUUCUAAUUCUGCACUCUACGUACGCAAUUGCUACAGGCUCUAGCGUACAGAUAUAAAAAGUGUUCGAUCUGACUAUCUACGUACAGGACUUGGUCUAUACUGCUAUAAUUAGGUAAGGAGAACAAAGUUACGAGCUGGUCUAGAUUUUUCUCUAGAGGGUGUGUCAUGACACGGCUCUCUAAACUAAACUACACAAUGGACGAGAUGAAGAUCAAGAACGGCCUAGUGUUCAUGUCAAUGGCAUUUGUAUUCCUAACGAUUCCUGUGGCUCACUACUUCAGUACAUCCCUUUCUGGUACACAUGCAUUAUUAAAGAGACAGGCAUUUAUACUCUAUUGAUUGAGAUAGUAUUUUUGUCCCUAAGAGAAUAGUCUAUGGUUAUUGAUAUCACAAUAGUAAAGGGCAUUGAGCAAAUGUAUCUAAAAGAAGUAUUUGGAAAUGACAAUCGUACUUAACAGCUACAACAGUACACUCUGCAAGGUCUUAUACAUGUACAGGUACUGUAACCCUUCACAAGCAGCUUUGUAUGGCUUGCAGAAUUGCACCAUCUUCAUUUUAAUGUUUGGAAAUCAAACAAUCCUUGCUACGUAUGUUGUGUAUGCAUGCAGUGUCAAUUGCCCCUCCCUACCUCUGCAGGCAGUGGAGCUACCUCGGUGGUGCAAGUGGCCAACUGUAAUAAAUUCAACGUAAAGGUAGCAAUAAAAAGGCUAGACCUGGAGAGAUGCGACACCUCCAUUGAAGAAAUACAGGUAACAGCGCUACUAUUAUUAAAUAAUUCCUAUAGCUCACUUUCUACAAGCUUAGCAUAGAGGAGCUGCAUGAUAAUGUACAUACUGUGACAGGGGCGGAUCCAGAGGUAGUUCGUUGGGUUCGAACGAACUACCCUUCCACUAAGUUGAUACUACACCUGGCUAGCUAGCCAGCUAGCUUACUGUCAUGACAAUAGGGUACAAAGUUCUCUCUGCAUAAUGUGAGGGUGGGGCUGGUACUCUCUGCAUAAUAUGAGGGUGGGGCUGGCUAUAUUGACUCGCAGUGAUAAUUGAGCCUGGCCAUGAAUCCUAACAAAAGGUCUAGAUUGCAACCCUCCAUUGACUCCUGGUUUAAGAAGAGUAAAGUUUCAGAUGAUGCGUCAAGUCUACAGCCACUCUCCUCUUCAAGAGAACCACCAGCCACCACCGUUUCUCCUCCAGCCACCGUCUCUCCUCCAGUCACAACCAUCUCUCCUCCAGUCACAACCAUCUCUCCUCCAGUCACAACUAUCUCUCCACUGGAACCACCAGCCACCUCCAUCACCCCUCCGUGUUCAUCGAAGCAAGCAACGAGAUCUUCCGCUGAGGAUCAGCCAAUGGACAUUGGUGCUCUCCUGAAAGAGAAGAAAGUGCAAUCACUAUCCCAGAGCAUGAGAAUGGCUUUGCCUUGUGUUCUUUCAGAUAUUAUAUAAUUUAUGUUUGUUUUGUUGGUUAAUUAAUGGGCGUGGCAUGUAAAAGGGGGCGUGGUCAGCCAAAAAUUUCGGCGCGCGGCCAAGAAGUAAGAACCCCCCCUUCCCUAAAUCCUGGAUCCGCCCCUGUGUGAUGUGCCCAGAAUUUUCCAAGUGGUGGCUAUUAUUCUCAAUCUCAAUUCAACACACAACUUGACUCUUUUCUAUGUAGUAAAAUUAAAGUACAUGCACACUUAGUCUAACAUGUAGCCAGCCCUCAGGGAUGUUUUUUGUUCGUCUAGUGGUGGUUAUUUUGGCUAAGUGUGGGCACAUCCCUACAUACAGUACAUUGAUCCGUUUCUGUCCCUUGCAGAGGGAGAUUACUUGCAGAGGGAGAUUACUCUGAUGAGCGCGUGCAAUCACCCCAAUGUCAUCCAGUACUACACCUCCUUUGUUGUCAAGGCCGAGCUGUGGUUGGUCAUGAGACUAAUGGCCGGAGGCGAGAAAAUCUUUCCCAUAGUUUGGGAAGUGGUCAAGACAUACCAGUGACCUCUCUAACGCGGUUUUACCGAACCUGCCCUACAUAUGUGUCAACCCCAACCGUUCAGAAACACGUAAUUAUUAUAUAAUUAUUACGUCUAGAAAAGAAGUCAAUUGACCUGACAGAAACACGUCAGGCAAGUUGACUAUAUGACAAGUUGACUCACGGCUUUGUCACAAGUUGACUAGAGAUCAUAUAUGGCUCACGUCAUACAGCUGGCUGCCCAACUAAACCGUUUGCUCCAUACAUGCAUGACUGUAUAGGCAACUUGUGUAUAGGCAACUUGUAACUUGUAACAACGAGGGGACCCGUAUACAUUGUCGUUUUCUUAGUGCCCACUAAUGUCUCAAUGGAAGAGGAAAGAAAGCAGGGCACAGGGUAUGCUUACAUUGUCAGCAUCAGGUGGUUAGGCAACAUAUACAUUCACAGCCAGAAGUUAAUCAUGAUGUAUUUGGACGAGUGAGAGCAGGAGAUAAGUAAGAAGGAGCAAUGGAAAAAUAGGGUCGAGCGUUGGUCGAGCGUUGACGGAUUCAGAAUUAUACUGAUUUAAUAAGCAACUAAUGUCACUUUUUUCUUCCAGUGACAUCACUUAACAGUGACAGAGGUGAGGUUAAUAAUUAUUAUACACAGCUACAACUUGAGAAGAUCGAAGAUGAUCUCAGUUCAUGCCAUAUCAUAUUUUGCGGCUUCGCACGGGCAGCCAUGAGAGAGGUGACCAAUGAAGACAAGCAAUUGAAGGAAAUCAGUGAACCUCUCCAAACGACAUCAGACAAACUAAUGUUUUUCACAGGAGAUAAGCCCGCAGCGCGAGGUUGGUCGCCACUACCAACUGCAUUGCUGUACUGCUAGACGAUACAGGAUUUGCAAAAACUGGUCAUUCAAGGUUAUGUCAUUCAAGGUUAUGUUUAAAACAAAGGUUUAACCGAGGCAAUACCUAUUUCUACACAGUACAUAACAAACCACAAGUAACUGUCUCAGUCCGUGUAACUCACUUAAUCUUUAAAAGUCUAUACUUGUCAUAACCAGCACGCCUUACACACUACAUUAAUGAUUAUUGUCGAGUCAGCAAAUAUGUCUAGCUAUGGUCAUAAGUAUUAUGUAAUUGUUAAUUGUUAAUUACCAAUUAGUCUGUUGUAUGUAUAAUUGUUGUAUGUAUAAUUAUAAAUUAUAAUGCUAAUUUUUAACACUCUAGGAGGCAAAAAACCUAGCCACAUAAAGCGCACUGAAAACCCAGGAAAUUCGACAGACCAGACAAUGGAACAGUACAGGCGCAAUAAAAAAGGCGCUCACUAAACAUUUAAAGGACCACUUAAAGGGAGUACAGCGAGUACCAUCUCUAUUGCUUACAAACCCCACAGAGCCCCUAGAGAAUUUAAAUCUACAACACUACCAGAUUUUGGAAUGUGAGCCAUCUCAAAGGCCACCUAAGCAAUGUACUACACGAGCUACCCACAAUAAUGGAAGAACCGCUAUCGUCCAAGCAAUCAUUGAUUGUGACCUAAACAGCAAAGAAACGAAAAGAGGAGGAGAUUACAGACUAGCAGUGAUCCACAUACUAGCUCUACUACAAAGUAGGGCGACACCACCUCUGAAAUUGCACCACCUCUGAAAUUGAUAGAAACAAUAGUAGAAAUGUCUGAAAUAAUGUACAGCGACGAAAAUAAACGCUCACCUCAACUCAUUCUAACACGCUGCACUUUGAACUGUGUAAGGAGUUACUAUUCUCACCCCAAACUAUCUCACACAAGAAAAUGUUUGGCACAUACCUGCACGAAGGCAACAAACACCGAACACGAGGAGAGACUCUUUGGACAGGCUAAAGAGCAGAGCUACUCGACAACCCAACACUAUAGUACCAAACAUAUUACUUAGACUACAAGCAAAACAACAACAAAAAGCACAUCCUAUCACCAAAUGUGUAGUAAGAUAUCCAAAGCAGCUAACGAGUUGCAAGGACAGACAGAAAACACGAAGAUAUCACACGAAUUCCUUACCUCGAGAGCAAGCAGUUGGCAGCUCCAUCUUCAAAGGAUUUCACCUGGAGUGUGGUGGCACCUUACAGCUGAUGGGUACGAGUUCCACGAUGGUAGCUCACAUCCCAACUGCAGAGAAGAAGGACCAGUGCUGACACAUUUUCGAAAUACCAGACUCACCUCAGAGAGAGCUUGGAGAGACAUAUGUGUGAUAACAAAAUAGAGCUAUGCAUGUACGAAGAUUAUGUGGAAAGGCUAACGAUCACCCAUGCUGACUACACACCAACAGAGAACAGAAGUGAUAGUGACGGGGAAGAGCCAGAAACAGAAGAUGCGCUAAGCACUGACUGUACUGAAGUGUGCUUACAGGAAGAGAUGCACUCAGAGGCAGAGGAAGCAACACCUACUUACAGAACUAAGUUUGCCACUGCAGUUUUCCGAGCAUUGGGGGAAAGCGCACUGGUUAGCGAACUUGAUCUGCUAAGACAAUCUGUUAGAGAAUCACCACACAAAGUAUCACAGACUAUACAAGCAACUUACAAGAAAUUAAUGCAAGCAGUACAAAUUUUGAGCAUUCGUUUUACACAGCAAAACACUUAUGUGAAUUAAUGUUGUAACUAAUUGUUGUAAAUUCAUAUUUCUUCACACACUGUUGGUGUUGUUGGUGUUGUCUGCACACUCUUUUUAUUAUGACCUUACAUUUUUAAUCUAGAUGUAACGUGGGUUUGGCUAUGUCACCAUUAUAUGCUGAGAUCUUACAAGGCUGUGCUAGAAGUACAUGUAUACCUAGAUUGUUAGCUAGAUACCUGUUCAUUAUUGGAAGCUGCUGACAAAUACAAAUAGUACACUCACAGA